GUCCAUCAUCUAAGAAUAUUAUAGAAAGUCCAGGGUGGUAGAACAAAGUAUAAAUAGGAAUGUCCAAGGCCUUUUGAGGCAUCUGGUCAGGUAUGGCUUUGGACCCUUUCUCUCAAUACAAUUGGAUUUUGCAUCUUCUUGUUUUGUUCUAUUUUAUUUUAAUUCUAAUUACUCAGUUUUUUCUUCUAUGUCCCAUUUUGUUUAAUUCUAUUUAGUUUUAUUUUGAUCCAGUUUGUCCUAUCUUGUGAUGAGAUUUUAUAUUGUUGUGGAUUAGAGGGAUUUUGGACACUUAAGAUAGAUUAGUUAUGUUUCAAUGCAUCUUCUUUUAUCUU
rnacentral:lncRNA from 1 species